rnacentral:rRNA from 1 species
CGGGGUGAGUAAUGUCUGGGAAACUGCCUGAUGGAGGGGGAUAACUACUGGAAACGGUAGCUAAUACCGCAUAAUGUCGCAAGACCAAAGUGGGGGACCUUCGGGCCUCUUGCCAUCGGAUGUGCCCAGAUGGGAUUAGCUAGUAGGUGGGGUAACGGCUCACCUAGGCGACGAUCCCUAGCUGGUCUGAGAGGAUGCCAGCCACACUGGAACUGAGACACGGUCCAG